CCGAGUAAGGGUCUCUCAGGCCCGAUCUCCCACCCUAUGUGUACCUACCUUUGUUGCUUUGGCGGGCCCGCUGGGGCAACCCACCGUCGGCUUCGGCUGGCGAGCGCCCGCCAGAGACCAUUCAAACUCUGUUUAUCAGUGUCGUCUGAGAAAAAACACAAUAGUUA
rnacentral:misc_RNA from 1 species